rnacentral:rRNA from 1 species
UGGGGAAUAUUGGGCAAUGGGCGAAAGCCUGACCCAGCGACGCCGCGUGAAGGAAGACGGUCUUCGGAUUGUAAACUUCUUUUAUAUAGGACGAAGUAUGACGGUACUAUAUGAAUAAGCCACGGCUAACUACGUGCCAGCAGCCGCGGUAAUACGUAGGUGGCGAGCGUUAUCCGGAUUUACUGGGUGUAAAGGGUGUGUAGGCGGGACUGCAAGUCAGAUGUGAAAAUCACGGGCUCAACUCGUGACCUGCAUUUGAAACUGUGGUUCUUGAGGGUCGGAGAGGUAACUGGAAUUCCUGGUGUAGCGGUGAAAUGCGUAGAUAUCAGGAGGAACACCGGUGGCGAAGGCGGGUUACUGGACGAUUACUGACGCUGAGACACGAAAGCGUGGGGAGCAAACAGG